AUGCAAGGAAAAGAUGACAGUGGUUUGGACCAAAGCGGUAGCGGUGAAAAUGAUUAGUUAGAAGCAGUUGGAUUCUGGAUAUAUUUUGAAGAUAAGACAUGUUUGUAAAUAAUAAUUCUAAUAUUUGCCAUAAAAGGAAUACAAACAAGGUGGUAUGAAAAGGCAAAGGUGGGAUCUUGCAAGAAAUUAGAAUAGGCUUUGGAAGGUUUGAAAUAGACUUCUGACAAAUAGA
rnacentral:lncRNA from 10 species